ACAUUUGUACAGGCAGACAGUCAUCUGUUAACACGGGCCGAAACGAAAAAGCCUCGCGACGCGAUUAGGCCGCUCACGGAGGAUGUGUCACGCAAAAUGGUGCUGCUUCAUGCUGUUAACGUAACCAAUGUGAUGUAUUUGUGGACAUUUGCUAACUUAAGGUAUUUAUCUGGAGAGAGGAACAAAGACGAAAGGAAAAGUGCCAUCUAAAACAACAGGCAGACAGUUCAGAAGAAACGGGUUGCGUUCAACCUACAUGUGGCCACUCUUCUGUGCAAAGUGAUGGAUUUUCAGUGGAAUUUCUGAAAUCCUCUCUUUGAAUCCUGGGAUGGAACAUCAUCUGGAGCAGAAUUGUUCUUUUUUGAUCGCAAAUUUGUUGGACUUGUUGUUUGGCCAUGUUGGUAUGUUUAUGAAGUGAUAAAAGUGAUGUGGGUUUUAAGAAAUGUUUUUAUAUGACCCUGUUGGUCAAGUUAUAGUUAUAAUUGUAUUUCUUUGUGUGAAGGGCCAUGAUGGCCAAUAAGUAAUUUAAAAACAUUUUCAUGACAAACUUUUGUCCCUUUAAAAAAUAAAAUGAUUUUCUAAAUAAAAAAUAAAUUCAAAAUAAUACACCUUUUAUGGCAUUUUUUAAUGUAAAUUUGAAAGAUAUAUUUAUUACAUUUUGACCUGUUUUUCAAGAUUAAGAAGCAUCAUUUGUUUGGGAGGGGGGUGAAUUAAGUUAUGCAUUAUACAACACUUUAUGCAGUUAAAAUUUGUUUAAAGUUUAUGCAGUUAAUAGAUUAAAUUUAAAAUUCAGCUCCCAGUC